AGAGCGAACGCUGGCGGCAGGCCUAACACAUGCAAGUCGAGCGCGUGUAGCAAUACACGAGCGGCAGACGGGAGAGUAACACGUGGGAACGCGCCCUUCGGUUCGGAAUAACUCAGGGAAACUUGAGCUAAUACCGGAUACGCCCUUACGGGGAAAGAUUUAUUGCCGAAGGAACGGCCCGCGUCCGAUUAGCUAGUUGGUGAGGUAACGGCUCACCAAGGCGACGAUCAGUAGCUGGUCUGAGAGGAUGAUCAGCCACAUUGGGACUGAGACACGGCCCAAACUCCUACGGGAGGCAGCAGUGGGGAAUAUUGGACAAUGGGCGCAAGCCUGAUCCAGCCAUGCCGCGUGAGUGAUGAAGGCCCUAGGGUUGUAAAGCUCUUUUGUGCGGGAAGAUAAUGACGGUACCGCAAGAACAAGCCCGGCUAACUUCGUGCCAGCAGCCGC
rnacentral:rRNA from 1 species